GGAGGGGUAAUCCUAACUGGUAAGGAAGCAGUUUGCUAAACUGUUAGUAAUCCGAAAGGGUGUGUGGGUUCGAGUCCCAUCCCCUCCG
rnacentral:tRNA from 1 species